rnacentral:rRNA from 1 species
GACGAACGCUGGCGGCGUGCUUAACACAUGCAAGUCGAGCGGUAAGGCCCUUUCGGGGGUACACGAGCGGCGAACGGGUGAGUAACACGUGGGUGACCUGCCUUUAGCUCUGGGAUAAGCCUGGGAAACUGGGUCUAAUACCGGAUAUGACUCCGCGGUGCAUGCUGUGGGGUGGAAAGCCUUGUGCGGCUGGAGAUGGGCCCGCGGCCUAUCAGCUUGUUGGUGGGGUGAGGCCUACCAAGGCGACGACGGGUAGCCGGCCUGAGAGGGCGACCGGCCACACUGGGACUGAGACACGGCCCAGACUCCUACGGGAGGCAGCAGUGGGGAAUCUUGCGCAAUGGGCGAAAGCCUGACGCAGCGACG